GCCUCAAAGCACUGGUAGAGGAUGGACUUAUGGCGCAUUAGCUGGUUGGAGGGGUAACGGCCCACCAAGGCGACGAUCAGUAGCCGGUCUGAGAGGAUGGACGGCCACACUGGGACUGAGACACGGCCCAGACUCCUACGGGAGGCAGCAUG
rnacentral:rRNA from 1 species